AUUGAACGCUGGCGGCAGGCCUAACACAUGCAAGUCGAGCGGCAGAAGGGAGCUCGCCCCGGGAUCCAGCGGCGGACGGGUGAGUAAUGCCUAGGAAUCUGCCCGGUAGUGGGGGAUAACGUCCGGAAAGGGGCGCUAAUACCGCAUACGACCUGAGGGUGAAAGCGGGGGAUCUUCGGACCUCGCGCUAUUAGAUGAGCCUAGGGCGGAUUAGCUAGUUGGUGGGGUAAAGGCCUACCAAGGCGACGAUCCGUAACUGGUCUGAGAGGAUGAUCAGUCACACUGGAACUGAGACACGGUCCAGACUCCUACGGGAGGCAGCAGUGGGGAAUAUUGGACAAUGGGCGAAAGCCUGAUCCAGCCAUGCCGCGUGUGUGAUGAAGGUCUUCGGAUUGUAAAGCACUUUUAGUUGGGAGGAAGAGCAGUAAGUUAAUACCUUGCUGUUUUGACGGUACCAACAGAAUAAGCACCGGCUAACUUCGUG
rnacentral:rRNA from 1 species